rfam:Bacillus sp. VT-16-70 Bacillus_obstructivus_contig152, whole genome shotgun sequence.
UGGUGAUGUCUCCUAGCCACUAUCAAAGGAGGCACUCGAUCAUGCUGUGGGUUGUAAAAAAACCUUAGACGCAAGUCGUCAAGAGUGUGGUGUGAGGGUGGGUUAAAUGCCCA